rnacentral:lncRNA from 1 species
UGUUGCAGCUACGUCCCAAGUCGGGGUAGGAGCAUAUACUCUCUCUCAAGCCCCAAAUUCAAAGGACAUGACUGGCGCUCAACCGGGUUUUCCCAGACAAGCGGACCUGGGUGCCUUUCCUAUCCCACGUGUUACGUCCUCUUUUUCAUUACUUAUUAACCAAGUGAAAUAGCCAUUCAUAAUUAAAAACACCCUUUAUUAAAAAACAUACUCAACAUACAUGUUUCUUAGCGUGGUUUAUAUCUUACAUCGCCCAAUAUACAAAAUACAUAUUUACAUAAGUUCACAACCCACACUUACCGUCUAUGGAGCCUCUAAGGAUACAAAAGGAUGAUACAAUACUUACCGGUAACAAGGCUCCGGCUAUACCUUACACCAAAAACCAAAACAAGACUCCAAAAUAAAAAGCAACAUAAUCCACGCAAAGCCCCGAGAGGAAAGGGGAUCACCAAUAAAUCUGACGGAAGUAAAGGGGAGCUACGGUCGGUGGAUUGGAUUACCUGCUAUGGAUCCACAUACAAUCAUAACAUAAAUGUAGCGUCCCCGGCAAAGGGACGUCACUACAUUUGAAUAUUACUAGUAUGUAUGAACAAACUUUGUCCCAAGUGAACUCAAACCAUACACAAAUAGGAAGCAGUAAUAGAAUCAACAAUCAUAUACACAAGAAAGGAACAAUCAAGUCAAACAAGUUUAUAAUCUCUCUUGUUUCCCCUUCAAUAUCCACAUCAAUAAUUUCACAAUUUUUCUCAUAUUUUCAUUUCAAUAGUGAUUCCGAUCACUUUUUACCUUUAUUACGCGGCCACCCUUAUCACCACAACCCACACCUUAUAACUUCGUUACGGCGCGCAACCUGAUCCAACCAUACAAUUACAAUUCACAAACAACACAACAAAAACAAUCCAUAGAGAACAACAAUAACACUUCUCAAGAAGUAACAACAAUAAUUCACAAAGAAUUUCCAUAACCAACAAUACCAUUUUCCAUCAUUUUCAGCAAUUCAUACGCAAUUUAAUUCACCACAAUAAUUACACACAACAAACCGGAUAUGUUAUUACCACAGUUGUUUCAAUUGCAUUAUUUAUGAUUUCCUUUCAUAGUUGUUUUCUCAGCUCUUACCACAUAACACUUUCACAAUCACGCAUUUAUUUUAUUGCCAACUACUUGCACCAUUAUAUCGGGAGACUUAACCAAAAACACUCAAAUCAAACCAAUCACAAGAAUUUCACAAAAAAUCCACAUAGAUAUCAAAUACCAAAUAUCUGUACACCAAAUAAGGUGAUUCUACAAAGGUCAAAGUUAGUCAUACAUACCUCGAUUACGCUUUCCAUAAGUUAUUACAAUAUUUCGGAAAUUCUAGCAAUUCCAAUCUACUAUGAGACAUAACAAAAUUGAAUCAAAUUAGAAAAGUAUUCAUGGUUUCAUCUCAUUUGGGCAUUUUAUCAAACACUAGUUGAGCAUCUUGAUUUCAAAUCUAUUUUACAAGGCUUCCUUCAUUUCCCAACCCAAUCCUUACCUCUUUAUGUUAAACAAUCUUCCCAAAAACUUGAUUUGUAAAUGGAUGAAUACAUAAUAGUAUUAUACCUAAGAAUCAUACAUCAAUACCCCCAUCUUAUACCCCAAACUCGAAAUUAAAGCCUAAUGUAUAGAAUAUUACCUCUUAGAUGAAGAACUUAUGAUGGGGCUCUUUGAUUCUUGAAGGUUGAUGCAAGGUUUGGAUUAUUAUGAAGCUAGCCCUCUCCUUUCUCUCUCUAUAUGCUCUCACCUCUCUCUAAAAUCAGUAAGUAAUGACCCCUAAAUGAAC